GUAAGAUUGCACAACCAGCUGGAGGACAGCCCUUUGGGACAUGGGAGAGCACAUGCUCCUGGGCCAGGCCUGGGGCCACUGGUCCCUGAGCAAGUCUGCCAGCCUUCUGAGCAGAGCUGUCCCUGGCUUGGGGGCCUCUCCAGUCUGGCUGUUCCCCCAUGGGGGAGACUUGCCCCUCCAUAGAGAAGCUCUAUAACGUCCUGCCGCGCACUGUGCAGGGUUGUGUGGAUGACAUGAGAGCCUGCCUGCAAGUCUGCGCAUACUUCAGGGUCUGUUGGCAGAUGCGGUGCUCAUCUUCAGCUCCCUCCAAGCAGUGUGUAUUAUACAGUCAAGGUCAUGAUCUCAAAGUGUCAAAUGUCCUGGAAAGAGGUUCAGAAGACGUCUCUGAAAAGAGAGGAUCAGAAGACUUGUUUCUGCUCCUAGCUAGUCACCCAGAGAGCUCUAAAAGGUUCACCAUCACUACAUUGCAGAAAUACUGAAUCAGAAUCUGACAGAGUCUAAAACCCAACAUUUGAGAAUAUUGUCACUGAUGAUUCGGAAAUAUACUAAAGUUUGGAUACUUCUGAGAUCAAAGGUAAAAAUCCCCAGCCACUUGUAGGCAGAACAAUGUCCCUCAAACAUGUCCGUGUCCUCAAACCCUGAGAUUGUAUUAGGUGAGAUAGAAAGGCAAAUUAAGGAUUAAUCAGCAGAGUUCUAUUCAAGAUUAUCUGGGUAGGCCCAAUGUCAUCGCAAGAGUUCUUUAACGGGGGUGGAGGGAAGCAGAAAAACCAGAUUUGGAACCAGAAAGAUGGUAUUGUGAGAAAGACUCCACUGGCUGUUGGCUGUCACUGGCUUUAAAGAUGGAGGAAGAGCCAGAAAUGAAGGAAAAAGGCAAAUGCUUGAAAAGGCAAGGAAAUAGAUUCUGUCCCAGAGUCUCCAGAAGGAACUAGCCCUGACAACUCCUUUAGCCCAGUGUGACCCACUCUGGACUUCUGACCUUUGGAAUCAUAAGAUAAUAAAUUGGUUGCUGAACCAACACUGCCAUCCCUAUAACAAAACCACUUUCUACAUACUGCCAGAUCU
rnacentral:lncRNA from 1 species